rnacentral:miRNA from 1 species
UUUCAGAGCCAGAGAUCGACAGC